rnacentral:rRNA from 1 species
AUGGCUUCAACGCCCGUCGACCGCCAUCUCUCUCUACACGCGGAUCGUGAGGAGGGCCCGAUCAUCUGGCUUCACGACUUCCAAAUGUUUGAGGACAAAUCCAGUGCCAUUAACCUUACUACCCGGCGAUUAGGCGCCAAACUCGCCCAGAUGAUCAUGAAGUGCUCCUUCUAUGAUGACAAACUAGUUGUUGGAAGGUCUGAAUAUAAAGAAAUAAUUGAAGAAUCACUGGGUCUAACCUGUGUGUACAAUGAUCAUGUGAUGGAGGUGAUGUGGGGUCUGCAGAAUCUCAUGCAUACUUCUUUUCCUGAAGAAAAAUCUAAGAUGUCUAGGGAUGACCAGCUCCUCGUGAGCAAAGGAUUGUAUAUGGUCUUAGAUCGACACGGCAUUAAGAUCAAGGCAGAGAUGCUUAAUGAGCAUAUUAUUAAGAAGACCCGCGAUGUACGUAAUACUGAUUUACGUGAAGAUGCAGUUGCAAUUGUGUUGCACGAAAUGGUUGAUGCCUAUUUCGAGGAGUUUUCUAAAAUUGAUACCGAGGAAUGGAGUUUAUUCAAACUAGCAUUAGCUUUGAAAGUAAUGAUUGAUCCUCAUGGAGGACUUAAAGCUGGUGACCCUUAUGAGAUGUUCACACAUGACGAGUUAAUAGUGAUGGGGCGUGACGCAUCUAAAUAUGAAGGUACUCUUGAUAAGAAAACUGUCUUGGCAAUGUACAAUGACGCUGUUGUUCUCCGUGAGGACAAGAUGGAUUUGCUGUACGAAUUGGACUGCUUGGUUGAGGAGGCUAAAGGAGCACUGGAAACUGAAGAAGUGCUGGAGAAGCUUGCAACAUUAAGUGUUGACUCCAAGCAGCAAACUGACUGUACAUCUUCAACAGCGGUGAGUCUGACAGUACCCAACCAAAGCAGCAUCUAUAAGGAGCAACACUGUCCUAUCACAGAUGCAGAUGGCGCGGAGAUCUCGCCAACCACUCCAGAUGAAGUUACUGCUGAAAGGGAUGCUGUCCGGGAAAAUACACAGGCUCAAGAAACUACUGCUGAAGGAAGAAAGGAGAUCGGUACUGCUGAAGGAAGAAUGAACCUCGGUACUGCUGAAGGAAGAAUGAACCUUGGUACUGCUGGAGGAAGAAUAAACCUCGGUACUGCUGAAGGAAGAAAGGAGCUCAGUCGCAUUAUUGCUCAGAAGGUGCCCCCUUGUCAUUAUCAAGAAUGGAAGCCUCUUCACAUUCCGCAGCUCAUUCCAACCACUCCAUAUGGUGCGGAGAUCUUGCCAACCACUCCAAAUGAAGUUACUGCUGAAAGGAAUGCUGUCCGGGAAAAUACGCAGGCUCAAGAAACUACCGCUGAAGGAAGAAAGGAGAUCGGUCACAUUCUUGGUCAGUAG